rnacentral:rRNA from 1 species
GACGAACGCUGGCGGCGUGCUUAACACAUGCAAGUCGAACGGUGAAGCGCUUUCCUUUUUGGCGGGUGUGGAUGAGUGGCGAACGGGUGAGUAACACGUGAGUAACCUGCCCCCUCCUUCUGGAUAACCGCAUGAAAGUGUGGCUAAUACGGGAUAUCCUGGGUCUGUCGCAUGAUGGGUCUGGGAUAGAUAUUGUUUCGGUGGGGGCUGGGCUCGCGGCCUAUCAGCUUGUGGGUGGUGUGAUGGCCUACGAAGGCGGUGACGGGUAGCCGGCCUGGGAGGGUGGCCGGUCUGGGUGGGAGAGAGAGCCGGCCCAGCCUCGUGAGGGAGCAGGAGGGAGGGAUUGUUGAACGAUGGGAGCAAGACUGAGGCAGGGACGCCGCGUGAAGGAGGGAGGCGGUCGGGUUAUGAACGUCUUAAGCGAAGGAAGGGGGCCUGCCUGGUUUGUGGAUGCUUUGACGGUAGCUUACUAAGAAGAGCCGGCUAACUACGUG